rnacentral:rRNA from 1 species
GACGAACGCUGGCGGCGUGCUUAACACAUGCAAGUCGAACGGAAAGGCCCUGCUUUUGUGGGGUGCUCGAGUGGCGAACGGGUGAGUAACACGUGAGUAACCUGCCCUUGACUUUGGGAUAACUUCAGGAAACUGGGGCUAAUACCGGAUAGGAGCUCCUGCUGCAUGGUGGGGGUUGGAAAGUUUCGGCGGUUGGGGAUGGACUCGCGGCUUAUCAGCUUGUUGGUGGGGUAGUGGCUUACCAAGGCUUUGACGGGUAGCCGGCCUGAGAGGGUGACCGGCCACAUUGGGACUGGGGUACGGCCCAGACUCCUACGGGAGGCAGCAGUGGGGAAUAUUGCACAAUGGGCGGAAGCCUGAUGCAGCAACGCCGCGUGCGGGAUGACGGCCUUCGGGUUGUAAACCGCUUUCGCCUGUGACGAAGCGUGAGUGACGGUAAUGGGUAAAGAAGCACCGGCUAACUACGU